rnacentral:rRNA from 1 species
CGGGUGAGUAACACGUGGAUAACCUACCUAUAAGACUGGGAUAACUUCGGGAAACCGGAGCUAAUACCGGAUAAUAUUUUGAACCGCAUUGUUCAAAAGUGAAAGACGGUCUUGCUGUCACUUAUAGAUGGAUCCGCGCUGCAUUAGCUAGUUGGUAAGGUAACGGCUUACCAAGGCAACGAUGCAUAGCCGACCUGAGAGGGUGAUCGGCCACACUGGAACUGAGACACGGUCCAG